ensembl:lncRNA
CUUUGCUCCAACAGGGAUUCAACAGCCAGACAGUGUAUUGUGUGUGACUUCAGUUCUAGUGGGAUGAGGAGUACCGGACAGGGCAUCCUAACUUUAGAUCACUCACAAAUGAGUGAAAUGUGAGAGAGAGAAUGUUAAAAAAUAGAAACCAAAAAAUAAUCAUUUAGCUUUUCUUGAGAAAUAAAGUAUAAGUCAGACCACUAAAGAAAUGCAAGAUAUUUUUGUUUGUUAAUAACACUUACAUUUAUAAAGACCACCAUCGAUUAUAAUUUAAACAUUUUUGUGGAGGGGAAAAAAACAACUCCAAACCCACACUGAAGCUGAUUUCUGCUAACUGUACAGUUUUUUAAUGAUUAUCUAGACAACUCCCUAGCAAGCAUUAGUCCUGUCAACUGUAAAUGGAAAAAGUAGACUACAUUGCAAUACCCUAUGUACAGUAUAUUAUAUAUAUAUAUUUAUAUCACACUGGCUGUAAUUAUGACAAGAUAUAUUCAUGAGAAUCAUUAGUGCAAGGCAUGAGGAAGAGACCUGGACAGAGUUAUUGAUCAGGACGGGUUGUGUGUGUGUGUGUGUGUGUGUGUGUGUAACAGGUCCAGGGUUUAAGAAUAACACAAAAGUGUACAUGUGUGAGCGAGCCGUGUUUUAGCUUGUGUGUGUUACUUAGAUCUGGAAGGGUUUAGAGAAAUAAACCUGCGUCUGACUGUGUUUGUUGUCUCUGAGGAUGUUUUAUCACCAAACAGUCCAGUCUCCCUCUGUGUACACACAACCCCACACCCACAGCACUUCCUAAAGAACAGGGGAGGAAUAGUGACCAUGACAAAGAGAGACGUCCUGAUUGGCACCCUAUUCCCUAUAUAGUGCACUACUUUUGACCAGGGCUUUAGUCAAAAGCAGUGCACGAUUUGGGGAAUAUGGUGACAUUUGGGACACACCCAGGGCCACAGUGUCAGCUGGCUCCUAAUGAAGAAGCUCUCAACACCUAGAGGUCACCUCACCAUGUUCCCCUCUCUCAACACCUAAAGAGGUCACCUCACCAUGUUCCCCUGUCUCUCCAAGUGGAAAACAGCUGCCUUCUAGCCAGCAUCUUGUUUACACCUGGACAGGCCUCAUAACCUGAACCAUGACCUAAUCUCAUCCAUUACAUGUUGAGACGUAAUGAACAUCAGCUGACAUUGUAACCAGAAUGGAUCUGGAUGUAAC